AUUGAACGCUGGCGGCAGGCCUAACACAUGCAAGUCGAACGGUAGCACAGAGAGCUUGCUCUCGGGUGACGAGUGGCGGACGGGUGAGUAACGUCUGGGAAACUGCCCGAUGGAGGGGGAUAACUACUGGAAACGGUAGCUAAUACCGCAUAACGUCGCAAGACCAAAGUGGGGGACCUUCGGGCCUCACACCAUCGGAUGUGCCCAGAUGGGAUUAGCUAGUAGGUGGGGUAAUGGCUCACCUAGGCGACGAUCCCUAGCUGGUCUGAGAGGAUGACCAGCCACACUGGAACUGAGACACGGUCCAGACUCCUACGGGAGGCAGCAGUGGGGAAUAUUGCACAAUGGGCGCAAGCCUGAUGCAGCCAUGCCGCGUGUAUGAAGAAGGCCUUCGGGUUGUAAAGCACUUUCAGCGGGGAGGAAGGCGGUGAGUUUAAUAAGCUCACCGAUUGACGUUACCCGCAGAAGAGGCACCGGCUAACUUCGUGCCAGCAGCCGCCGUAA
rnacentral:rRNA from 1 species